rnacentral:rRNA from 1 species
UACGAAGGGUGCAAGCGUUACUCGGAAUUACUGGGCGUAAAGCGUGCGUAGGUGGUGAGUUAAGUCUGUCGUGAAAGCCCCGGGCUCAACCUGGGAAUGGCGAUGGAUACUGGCUCGCUAGAGUGCGGUAGAGGAGAGUGGAAUUCCCGGUGUAGCAGUGAAAUGCGUAGAGAUCGGGAGGAACAUCAGUGGCGAAGGCGAGUCCCUGGACACUUCCUGACACUGAGGCACGAAAGCUAGGGGAGCAAACAGG